rnacentral:snRNA from 1 species
GUGCUCCAUUCGGUAGCACAUGUACUAAAAUUGGAACGAUACAGAGAAGAUUAGCAUGGCCCCUGUACAAGGAUGACAGGCAAAUUUGUGAAGCAUUCCAUAUUUUU